rnacentral:sRNA from 1 species
GCUGGGUGCGGUGGCUCACACCUGUAAUCCCAGCCACUCUGGAGGCUGAGGCAGGAGUUAUCCUGAGUUCAAAGUCAGCCUCAGCAACAGUGAGGCACUAAGCAACUCAGUGAGAUCCUGACUCUA